GCAAGUCGAGCGCUACCUUCGGGUGGAGCGGCGGACGGGUUAGUAACGCGUGGGAACAUACCCUUCUCUAAGGAAUAGCCACUGGAAACGGUGAGUAAUACCUUAUACGCCCUUCGGGGGAAAGAUUUAUCGGAGAAGGAUUGGCCCGCGUAAGAUUAGAUAGUUGGUGGGGUAAUGGCCUACCAAGCCGACGAUCAGUAGCUGGUUUGAGAGGAUGAUC
rnacentral:rRNA from 1 species